AGUCAAAAGUAGUUGCUCGGCAGAACAUCCCGCCGGGAACAUUAGUUGCACUAGAGGCAGCUUACGUUGGAAUUUUACGAGACCUAAAUAAAAACAGAUCAUGUUACUAUUGUCAUCAUAUUUCAUUAAAUCUAAUUCCGUGUCACAGUUGUACAGGAAUAUUAUUCUGCAGCCCAGAAUGCAGGAAGCUUUGCUGGGAAGAGUUUCACAAUGUCCAAUGUCAUAUAAUUUCACUAUUCGAGGAUGAUAUACUAACUGGAUCAUCACUACCCACCGUGGCAGCUUUAAAAUUUAAAAAUUCAUGUUCCUGGGACGAAUUUAUAGCAAUUUCUCAUAAUUUGGGUUUGAAAAAGAUGGAAAACAGUAUGAUAAACGAAGUUUAUGAUUUAAACAGCAAGGCGUCGAUUUUGAAAUUCAACAAUGAAAAUAAUAUGUUCGUUUUUGGAGAUACUUUCAAUGCACUUAAUGUCAUUGCCGUUAUAAUAUUCCAUUUAGAAGAAGUACUACCAUCAUUCUUUCCUCGUGAGAAAGACGAAGCUAUCCGUGCAAUGGGCAGAGUAUUACUGCACAUACAUAAAUCUACCAGACACGCAAUACUUAUUGCGAAUACGGCUAAAGCAGCAAUGGAUGAGAAGAGUACUCUUCUGGGAAAUAUUGGCUUAUUUUCGUUUACGAGUAAAUUGAAACACUCUUGUGAUCCAAAUCUUCACGUAUCAGGACUAAACAAUAAAGCUGCACUUAUAUCAUUGAGACCAAUAAAAAGGGGAGAAGAGUUAACAAUAUCAUACAUCGGCCACUGGUAUGAUCACAUAAUAACAAACCGAUCCUUGCACAUGUGGAUGAAUAAUAAAAAAAUCUGCCGAUGCAAAGUCUGUGUUAAUAACUGGGAUCACCGAAUGGUCGGCCUACCUAAAGCCAAAAUGACCGCUCAACAAAAAUCAUCGUUCGACAAGUGGAUGUAUUUGUUUACCGCUUCUCAUAUAAGCCCGGUGAACUUCGUUACCAUGUAUAAAGAAACUUUUCGCUGUAUCGGGGAAUUACACGACCUACCGAACACCCAAGAACAUAGACAAAUCUAUAACGAAAUGAGAGGUUUGAUUGAAUCUUUAAAGUACGAAGCUACGAAAAACUGCAC